rnacentral:rRNA from 1 species
UUUAGAGUUUGAUCCAUGGCUCAGAAUCAACGCUGGCGGCGUGCCUAACACAUGCAAGUCGAACGAGAAAGCCUGUAGCAAUACGGGUGAGUAAAGUGGCGUACGGGUGAGUAACACGUGGAUAACCUACCUUCGAGCGGGGAAUAACCCUGGGAAACCGGGGCUAAUACCGCAUAAUAUCCCGCAACUGCGGUAGCGGGAUUGAAACCUGGAAACGGGGCUCAAAGAGGGGUCCGCGGCUGAUUAGCUAGUUGGUGAGGUAACGGCCCACCAAGGCUAUGAUCGGUAGCCGGCCUGAGAGGGCGGACGGCCACACUGGAACUGAAACACGGUCCAGACUCCUACGGGAGGCAGCAGUGGGGAAUUUUGCGCAAUGGGGGAAACCCUGACGCAGCAACGCCGCGUGGAUGAUGAAGCCCCUUGGGGUGUAAAAUCCUUUCGGCAGGGACGAAUCCCGAGCAAUCGGGCGGACGGACCUGAAGAAGAGCCCCGCA